rnacentral:rRNA from 1 species
UACGGGGGGGGUAAGCGUUGUUCGGAAUUACUGGGCGUAAAGGCUCGUAGGCGGCCAACUAAGUCGGACGUGAAAUCCCUCAGCUUAACUGGGGAACUGCGUCCGAUACUGGAUGGCUUGGAUUUGGGAGAGGGAUGCGGAAUUCCGUGGUGUAGCGGUGGAAUGCGCAGAUAUCAGGAGGAACACCGAUGGCGAAGGCAGGUCUCUGGGCCACUACUGACGCUGAGAAGCGAAAGCAUGGGGAGCGAACAGG